rnacentral:rRNA from 1 species
GACGAACGCUGGCGGCGUGCCUAAUACAUGCAAGUAGAACGCUGAAGGAGGAGCUUGCUUCUCUGGAUGAGUUGCGAACGGGUGAGUAACGCGUAGGUAACCUGCCUGGUAGUGGGGGAUAACUAUUGGAAACGAUAGCUAAUACCGCAUAAUAGCAGUUGUUGCAUGAUAACUGUUUGAAAGGUGCAAUUGCACCGCUACCAGAUGGACCUGCGUUGUAUUAGCUAGUUGGUGGGGUAACGGCUCACCAAGGCGACGAUACAUAGCCGACCUGAGAGGGGGAUCGGCCACACUGGGACUGAGACACGGCCCAGACUCCUACGGGAGGCAGCAGUAGGGAAUCUUCGGCAAUGGACGGAAGUCUGACCGAGCAACGCCGCGUGAGUGAAGAAGGUUUUCGGAUCGUAAAGCUCUGUUGUAAGAGAAGAACGAGUGUGAGAGUGGAAAGUUCACACUGUGACGGUAUCUUACCAGAAAGGGACGGCUAACUACGU